rnacentral:rRNA from 1 species
AGUGAACGCUGGCGGCGUGCCUAAUACAUGCAAGUCGAACGAAGUGGCGAACGGGUGAGCAAUCUAUAGUUAAUCUGCUCUAUAAAGAGGCCAAACAGUUGGAAACGAAUGCUAAUACCUCAUAUUGUAGGAUGAGACUAUAUCGUAUCAGCUAGUUGGUAAGGUAAUGGCUUACCAAGGCUAUGACGCGUAACUGGGCAGAGAGGAUGAUCAGUUGCAUUUGAACUGAGACACGGUCCAAACACCUACGGGAGUCAGCAGUAAGGAAUAUUACGCACUGGGGGAGACCCUGACGCAGCAACGCCGCGUGGAGGAUGACAGUUUUCGGAGCGUAAACGCCUUUGUUCAGGAAAGCGGUACCUGAUCAGUAAGCACCGGCUAACUCCGUGCCAGCAGCCGCGGUAAUAC